GCCCCUCGCUUACACCGAAGAGAUGCCUGUGAAAAUCAGAUUAUUUUGA
rnacentral:tRNA from 1 species